AACAUACCUUAAAGCAGACUUCAAAUAAAUUGCUUGAAACGCCAAGAAAUUUUUGAUUUGGAUCAAUCAAAUCAAUUUAUGAUGUUGGAUCAAUCAAACAUAAACAUCCAAUGCGCAUCAUGCACGAUCUAUUCUCAUGUGCAUCUAGGGAGUGUCACUUCUGGCAUGCAAGCGCGAUCAUAAGAAUAAAUCAGAUUAGACAGAAGGAUACAUAAGGAUAUUUAGGAUGUCAUGCAACACAUUGAUAGGCAAGAAUAGGAAUAGAAACGGAAUGAAUGGAAUAAAAAUAAAAUCUCCUGGAUUUUUUUCAUUCAUGGGGAUAUGUUUGAAAAAUUUGUAGAUAAAUUAAAUGGGGAUAAGGAUGUGUCGUUACCCUGAGACCCUCAGACGUUCCAGUCGUUGUCCAGAGUCCAGGCAAAGUAAUCUACUAAAUCAACUACAACUUCAACAAUGACAAUAGCAUCAAAACAUAUUUAAAGAGUCUAUGCACAUUAUUUACGAUCUAUUUCCAUGUGUACCAAGUGUUCUAGAAUUUAGAUCAGAUGAUCUAUAAAAUCAAACAUGACCUGAGCAGUGUCAAAAGCUACGAUACAUGUCUAACGAUAUUCAUAAAGUCUAUGAUCAUCAUUUCCAAUUUAUUUCCAUGUAUAUUUAUCAGAUAUUUUAGGUUCCUCAAACCAUUCUGGAUAUCAAUUGUGUCGAUCUAUGAGAUCAAUCACGACCUUAACUAUGUAUUUUGCAUCGAAACAUGUCCAAACAUAUUCGUUGUCAGCUGACAGUCAAGUCCGGUGUUGGAAAGACGUAUUUUUUAUAUCAGCUACGGCGUCGCUUUACAAUUGGAUGGGUUUCUCUAAGGAUGAGUGCAAAACGUGAGAACACAUUGGUAGUGGAUUUCAGUGUACCUCCGAAGCGACCCUGUUGUACAAAAGUUCAUUUACGGGAACAUGAAGUUCAACAUUGCGGACGCAAUAGACAUUCAAUGAAGCGCAGCCAAGAGCUACUAUAAAUCGCACAAUCUACAGCACACAAUGAAGUGUGACCAAAAGGAGUACAAAAUUCCUGUGUACGUAGAAGAUGAAGCGGUUAAUGUUCGAAUCCAUGAUCUUUCUCGUCAAACACCUAACACGGUGAUUAAAGAGAACAUGCAACAUUGUUUUAAAUACUUUAUUAUAGAAAUUUUUAGCCGUUCACAUUUUUUCUACCGAGCUCGGCUGUGCAAAUCUUGGCAAAAAUAAGUUUCACUGAGAUCUCAGCAAAAGUGGCAAUGCAUGAUUCAUUUAAAAAAUGAUUCUGAGAUGGUGUAACAUUUAUUAACAAAGACAAACUUUUCAUGAAAGAAGAACAAACUUUUCAUGGAUUUUUGAAACUCUAUAUUUUCAAAUGAAAAGUAUGAAUUUAAUCACUUACUACGAUUUUUAAUGUCAUUUUAAACAUCAAGGCUUAUUUUGAUCAUCUUUCUAAAUGCAACGAUUUUCAAGAUAUUUUGAACCCCGUCAAACUGGUUGGUUGAAUCUUCAAUGUGUAAAAGGCUAAAUCGUUGGAAAUUAAAUACAAUUGCUCAAAAACAUAAACAAUCGAUGUCGCAAAACGACAAAUAUAUGAAAAAGGUUUGUACACAGGAAAAAACGUAUUUGAAUUUAUUUUCAAAUAUAUUGAAAAUGGUUGAAUUUAGAAAGAUGAUCACCAUGAACAUUUUUGUUUAAAAUGACAUCAGCAAUCGUUACAAGUGGUUAUAAUUCAUACUUUACAAUAAACUAUGCUUUCAAUAGACUUUAAAAAAUCCAUGAAAAGUUGAUAUUCUUUGAAAUCUAUUUACAUCAUCUUACACCAUCCCAGAAUUGUUUACAAAAGUCUCUAGUUUACUUCUAUUUUAGCUAGAAAAAAAAAAACAUGUUAACGUUUUUUUAUUUAAAUUUAGAUUUAAGUUUUUUUAAACAAAUUUUUAAAAAAAGGUCAAUUAUUUUCAACUUGUCCAUAGACACGAUUUCAUUACAAUCAAUAGUUUUAAACACACGGCUCUUGAUAUUUUUUCCUUGAUUUGUUUUCCGUGGAUCUUGUUUUCCGUUCUAGUACUACUACCUAUAGGGUGGGAGGCAAUCACGCUUACCACUACACCACCGGCACCGCUUAACUGUUUUUGAAAAUACAUACGCCUUUUUAAAAAUAUAUAUGACGCUUGAGUUGAAUGGUCUUAAUAUUUAUGGAAGAUUCAUAUUCCCAGCUAUCGCAAACAUAGAUAAUGUUAUAUUUAAAUCGGAAAGUCUUAAAUCUGGUCAAUUGCGUGGAACUGCUCAAUACAAAUGUUUCGCGCGGCUAACACAAAUAAUUGUUUCAUCUGCGAAACCCAUUUUUACGAAAUGAGCGUAAGAAAAUUAACAUCAAAAUAUUAUCAGUGCCUGAAUCAUCCAUUUAUCUAAUCUCUACUGCCAUAUACGGUGAAACUGUUUGUUCGUGUGCCAUCGUAAUUUUUAUUGUCUUAAUUAUUUUAAGAUAAGAGAAAUAAACAGUGACGAUUGGCACCAUGCCUCUGAAGGUAUCAAUGCGACUUUACUAGCACACUAGAAAUGUCGCAGUGAAACGUUCUGCGACAUAGUUCCCGUCGAAUCUCUCAAAUGACAUCAACUGAGAUGAAAUUGAAGGACAACACAUUUCCGUCACACAUAAAUCAUGGAAACCAUACGAGCGAUAGUCGGUACAACCCAAACACUCAAACAACUAGCAAUUACAGCUACGUCAUCUUCCGUAUACGAGUAACCUUGAUCUUACCUUGGUCCAAACUCUGUCCCAUCUCCUGCCGAUUGGAGCAGCCGUUCCAUUUCCGGUAUCACAGAUUGGUACAUGAUAGU